AUUGAACGCUGGCGGCAUGCCUUACACAUGCAAGUCGAACGGCAGCACGGGUGCUUGCACCUGGUGGCGAGUGGCGAACGGGUAAGUAAUAUAUCGGAACGUACCUUAUUGUGGGGGAUAACGCAGCGAAAGCUGUGCUAAUACCGCAUAAUCCCUAAGGGGGAAAGCGGGGGACCGUAAGGCCUCGCGCAAUUAGAGCGGCCGAUACCUGAUUAGCUAGUUGGUGAGGUAAAGGCUCACCAGGGCAACGAUCAGUAGCUGGUCUGAGAGGACGAUCAGCCACACUGGGACGAAGACACGGCCCAGACUCCUACGGGAGGCAGCAGUGGGGAAUUUUGGACAAUGGGGGCAACCCUGAUCCAGCAAUGCCGCGUGAGUGAAGAAGGCCUUCGGGUUGUAAAGCUCCUUUGUCAGGGAAGAAACAGCAGCUCUAACACAGUUUGCGAAUGACGGUACCUGAAGAAUAAGCACCGGCUAACUACGUGCCAGCCGCCGCGGUAA
rnacentral:rRNA from 1 species